GUUGGAGCGGUGAUGAGCAAUUUUUUGUGGACUAGAGUUUCUGAUACUUGUAUUUGACGACCAAACCCUUGGCUGUCUGAGCUCCUUG
rnacentral:snoRNA from 1 species